UACGAAGGGGGCUAGCGUUGCUCGGAAUUACUGGGCGUAAAGGGCGCGUAGGCGGAUACUUAAGUCGGGGGUGAAAGCCCGGGGCUCAACCUCGGAAUUGCCUUCGAUACUGGGUAUCUUGAGUUCGGGAGAGGUGAGUGGAAUGCCGAGUGUAGAGGUGAAAUUCGUAGAUAUUCGGCGGAACACCAGUGGCGAAGGCGACUCACUGGCCCGAUACUGACGCUGAGGCGCGAAAGCGUGGGGAGCAAACAGG
rnacentral:rRNA from 1 species